rnacentral:rRNA from 1 species
UACAGAGGUCUCAAGCGUUGUUCGGAUUCAUUGGGCGUAAAGGGCGCGUAGGCGGCGGGGUAAGUCGGGUGUGAAAUCUCAGAGCUCAACUCUGAAACUGCACUCGAUACUGCUCUGCUUGAGGACUGGAGAGGAGACUGGAAUUCACGGUGUAGCAGUGAAAUGCGUAGAUAUCGUGAGGAAGACCGGUGGCGAAGGCGGGUCUCUGGACAGUUCCUGACGCUGAGGCGCGAAGGCCAGGGGAGCAAACGGG